GGAGUAAAGCUUGCCGUGAGAAGUCAGCAGAGGUCAUAGUAAUGGAGUACUCGAUAACGCUCCAUGAAGGGC
rfam:Prevotella timonensis CRIS 5C-B1 contig00046, whole genome shotgun sequence.